CAUGAACCAUUCAUUUUAUUUUAUUUUAUUUUAUUUUAUUGUAUUUUAUUAAGACACAGAGAUUUGACCAUGCAGACUUCCUCAAGGACCUGCCACAGACAGACAGCUUUUAGCAGGUUACCAGGUGACCAUGGAAACCAAACAAGGGAGGCGACAUGUGGUGCCUUUAUUUUUCAUACAUGAAACCUGGUGUCUGUUCUCACCGGCCAACUAGAGUGCUCUCCCCUAUCCCUUCCCUCACUCUAUCUGAGCUCUGCCAGUGGUCACAUCCUAUGGCUUUAUAAUCUACUCCCUUUGCCCAGGAAUUUCUCUGCUCAUUCACUUCCUGCCGUGGUGGAGAUCAUACUUGGUCUAUGAAUGCCAAGGGAGCACACUGUCACUCAGCUAUGCCUCCCAGCCCCCUGGCUAGUCUAUACCAGUAUCACCAUAGUUAAGAUACUAAUAAUCAUUUCAGUGGACCAAUUUAAACAGGACAUAAUUACUUCCAUGUACCAACUUCAAGACAAAACAGUCCUGCUCAGACCCCUCCCAACCUCACUGUUCUGUCUCCUGCCUCGUCCCUUCCCCCUCCUCUUCCCCCUCUCCUUCUCCCUCCCCUCCUCCUCCUCACUGGAGCUGCUAUUGGCCUUCCUGUUCUGAGCUUUCUGGCCACCUCCUGCAGGCUGCUUAGGAGUUGCCAUGGCCUUUGCUGCAGAUGGCUUGGAAGUGACAGCUGGCUUGCUUAAGGGACUCUUGGUGGUACUGACUGGCUUGGCAGGAGCUUCAUCCUCAGAACUGUCAGAAUCUGAGCUGUCGGAAGAGCUCUCUGCUUUCUUCUUCACCGGAGCUGGUUUGGCAGGUGUCUUGGAGACCACCGUCUUAGCUGGAGGUUUUUUCUCUUCCUCAGAACUUGAAUCAGACUCAUCACUGCUGUCUGCAGGCCUUGUCUGUGCAGCAGCUUUCUUUGGAGCCUGGGCUCCCGAGGAGGACUUCUUUGGUAAAGGAACAGAAGGCGGUGGAACUGAACUGUAGGGAGCUGCUUUUUUCUUCAUGGUUUUUUUCUGUUCCUCUUCCUCUUCACUGGAUGAAUCUUCACUGCUAGAACUCUUUUGGGUAGGGGCAGCAGCUACUUUCACUGGUGCCUUGGCCACGACUUGCUUUUUAGGUGCAGUUUUCUUUGGAGGUGCGGCUGCCUUCUCUUCCUGCGAGCCAUCACUGCUGUUGCUGCUGCUGCUGCUACUGCUGCUGCUGCUGCAGCGGCGGCGGCUGUGGCUUCUGGCUGCUUUGUCAUUGGCUACUUUAGGCUGUGUUUUCGCCGGUGUACCUUGUUUGGCUGGGGCUUUAGUCGGAGCUUUAGCUGCCACAGCUGUCUUUGGCUUCUGAGUCUGUGGUGCUUCAUCCUCUGAGCUUGAGUCAGACUCGGACUCAGAGCUCUCUGCUUUCUUCGGAGGAGGUCUGGCUGCCUUGGCUUGGGGCUUAACUGCUUUCUGCUGGACAUGCUUUUUCGUUUUGUCCUCUUCCUCCUCGUCAUCACUGGAUUCUUCACUACUGCUGCUCUCUGAAGCUUUGGCUGCUGCCUUCCCAGCACGCUGAGGCACACCGGCUCGCUUGGCAGGUGCAGCAGCCUUCUGUGUGGAAAGUCCUUGGGCUUUGUCCUCUUCCUCACUGCUAUCCUCACUGCUGUCACUGGAAGAAGUCUCUUUCUUAACCUUCUUGGUCACUGGUCUAUUUGACUGUAAUUUCACCGUUGGGGCUUUGGUGGACUUGAGCCAGAAGCUAUAGAUGUCCAAGAGGGAAGAGGCAUUGGCGUCUUGCUGCGUAGCGCCUGUCGCUUUUGCAAAUUUACUGGCCACCUCCGAGAGUUGGUUGUCUCUCAGAAAGCCGAGCACAAGGGGAUAAAGGUCGCUGGGUACCACGCGGCGCAAGCCAGUAUCCGCCAUACUCCCAGUAAAACGCGUCACUACCGUUGCGCUCGCUCGCAGCACGGCACGACUUAGGAACUCCAAAGCACGACC
rnacentral:lncRNA from 1 species